rnacentral:rRNA from 1 species
GAUGAACGCUAGCGGCAGGCCUAACACAUGCAAGUCGAGGGGCAGCGCGGGUAGCAAUACCUGGCGGCGACCGGCGCACGGGUGAGUAACGCGUAUGCAACCUGCCCGCCACAGGGGGAUGCCCGCCGAAAGGCGGAUUAAUACCCCAUCGCCCCACGUUCCGGCAUCGGGAUGUGGGUAAAAGGAGCGAUCCGGUGGCGGAUGGGCAUGCGUGCCAUUAGCUAGUUGGCGGGGUAACGCCCACCAAGGCGACGAUGGCUAGGGGGUCUGAGAGGAUGGUCCCCCCACACUGGUACUGAGACACGGACCAGACUCCUACGGGAGGCAGCAGUGAGGAAUAUUGGUCAAUGGGCGGAAGCCUGAACCAGCCAUGCCGCGUGCAGGAAGACGGCCCUACGGGUUGUAAACUGCUUUUCCGGGGGAAGAGCAAGGACGGUACCACAGGAAUAAGUCACGGCUAACUACGUGCCAGCAGCCGC